AACGAACGCUGGCGGCAGGCUUAACACAUGCAAGUCGAACGGGUGUAGCAAUACAUCAGUGGCAGACGGGUGAGUAACACGUGGGUGAUCUGCCCUGCACUUCGGGAUAAGCCUGGGAAACUGGGUCUAAUACCGGAUAGGACCCUGGGAUGCAUGUCCUGGGGUGGAAAGCUUUUGCGGUGUGGGAUGGGCCCGCGGCCUAUCAGCUUGUUGGUGGGGUGAUGGCCUACCAAGGCGACGACGGGUAGCCGGCCUGAGAGGGUGACCGGCCACACUGGGACUGAGAUACGGCCCAGACUCCUACGGGAGGCAGCAGUGGGGAAUAUUGCACAAUGGGCGCAAGCCUGAUGCAGCGACGCCGCGUGAGGGAUGACGGCCUUCGGGUUGUAAACCUCUUUCAGCACCGACGAAGCGCAAGUGACGGUAGGUGCAGAAGAAGGACCGGCCAACUACGUGCCAGCCGCCGCAGUAA
rnacentral:rRNA from 1 species